CACCGGCAACUCUAGUGGUAGCAGUUUUUAUUGGGCCUAAAGCGUCCGUAGCCGGUUUAAUAAGUCUCUGGUGAAAUCCUGUAGCUUAACUGUGGGAAUUGCUGGAGAUACUAUUAGACUUGAGACCGGGAGAGGUUAGAGGUACUCCCAGGGUAGAGGUGAAAUUCUGUAAUCCUGGGAGGACCGCCUGUUGCGAAGGCGUCUAACUGGAACGGUUCUGACGGUGAGGGACGAAAGUUAGGGGCGCGAACCGGAUUAGAUACCCGGGUAGUCCUAACUGUAAACGAUGCGGACUUGGUGUUGGGGUGGCUUUGAGCUGCUCCAGUGCCGAAGGGAAGCUGUUAAGUCCGCCGCCUGGGAAGUACGGUCGCAAGACUGAAACUUAA
rnacentral:rRNA from 1 species